AGUAAAUCAAUGUGCAUUAAAGUGUAUAUAUAUACACACACUAAAAUUGGUUGGUACUUGAUAUUGUUUUUUUCCAGUGCGCAGUGCACACAGUAUUUUAAGAAAUUGCCCAAUUCACAGUUCUUUCUCUACGUUGCCCUUGCAUGUGCUGACAUAUGAAAAACCCAGUAUCUUGACAAGAAUACCCUUUACACUUAUAGAAAUUUACACUAUUUUGUCACAUGAUUUUCCGUGCUUAUAUUUGAAAGAUUUUCUGUGAUAUCUUCCAGACUCCAGAGCCUUGACAAGCCUUGACAUACUAUAUUCAAUGCUCCCACGCAUCUCCUUUAUUAUAUGGAUUAAUAUGUAGAACACAAGCAAUUGAACUCUUCACCAAGUCAAAUACUGACUAGAAAGCCCCAGUAGUGUUGCCCAGGCUCUUCACUCACGAAGUUGCUUGU
rnacentral:misc_RNA from 1 species